UACGAGUGCCUCAAGCGUUAUCCGGAAUUAUUGGGCGUAAAGGGUGUGUAGGUGGUUGUGUUAGUCUUCUGUUAAAUUCUUCGGCUUAACCGGGGGCAUGCGGGGGAAACGGCACAACUUGAGGAUGCAAGGGGAGAGUGGAACUCGUAGUGUAGCGGUGAAAUGCGUUGAUAUUAUGGGGAACACCAAAAGCGAAGGCAGCUCUCUGGGGCAUUCCUGACACUGAGACACGAAAGCGUGGGUAGCGAAU
rnacentral:rRNA from 1 species